UUAUGCGAUAAACUGGUGUGAAUUGCAGAAUCCCGUGAACCAUCGAGUCUUUGAACGCAAGUUGCGCCCGAAGCCAUUAGGCUGAGGGCACGUCUGCCUGGGUGUCA
rnacentral:rRNA from 1 species